AGAGGCAUUCCCUUCGGGGCAAUGGAGACAGGUGGUGCAUGGUUGUCGUCAGCUCGUGUCGUGAGAUGUUGGGUUAAGUCCCGCAACGAGCGCAACCCUUAUUCUUAGUAGCCAGCAGGUAAAGCUGGGCACUCUAAGGAGACUGCCGGGGAUAACCCGGAGGAAGGCGGGGAUGACGUCAAAUCAUCAUGCCCCUUAUGAUUUGGGCUACACACGUGCUACAAUGGCGUAAACAAAGGGAAGCGAGACAGUGAUGUGGAGCAAAUCCCAGAAAUAACGUCUCAGUUCGGAUUGUAGUCUGCAACUCGACUACAUGAAGCUGGAAUCGCUAGUAAUCGCGAAUCAGCAUGUCGCGGUGAAUACGUUCCCGGGUCUUGUACACACCGA
rnacentral:rRNA from 1 species